GGGCAGUUCAUAUAUCACGAUAAUGACCAGUUUUUCAAUAACUAUUAUGUUUAUUUCAUCGAGGAACCAUGUUUUUAAAAAUUCUCAUAAAUUCAAAUUGUUCAAAACAAACUCGAGUUAUUGUACGAUUUCUAUAGGAAAAAGUGAAGACCCAUAGGCGGAUCCAGGGGGGGGGGGGGGGGCCCCCCCCCCCCUUUCGUGGGAAAAAUUUGGUUGAUUAUAUAGGGAAUCAUUGAAGCAUGACUGGAGCGGGCCCCCUCUUAGGUCAGUCAGCGUGCCCCCCCCUUAGGAAAAGUUCUGGAUCCGCCACUGAGACCAGUCAUAGUGAUAACUAUAAGUCACUACCAUUCAUGUAAGUACAAUUUUUCAUUUUAUGAAAACAAAAUAAAGUUUUCUAUCAUUUUAUAAUUAACGAA
rnacentral:lncRNA from 1 species